AAAAAAAAAAAAAGUGCAUAACAUCCCUGAUACCAAACUAGUUAGGGUCAGUUCAAUGAUCUUUUUUCACUCGAAUCCAUUCUGUUUAGGGCCAAAUUUAUUUGCAUUGCCACUUUAAGAUGUUAAACAUUAAGAAGCCGAGACAAACAUGUUCAGAAUGGCAGUACUAGAUUCAGAGAAAGAAGGGAAAAUAAUAAUAAUAAUAUGUACA
rnacentral:misc_RNA from 1 species